GACGAACGCUGGCGGCGUGCUUAACACAUGCAAGUCGAACGGAAAGGCCCUGCUUUUGUGGGGUGCUCGAGUGGCGAACGGGUGUGUAACACGUGAGUAACCUGCCCUUGACUUUGGGAUAACUUCAGGAAACUGGGGAUAAUACCGGAUAGGAGCUCCUGCUGCAUGGUGGGGGUUGGAAAGUUUCGGCGGGUGGGGAUGGACUCGCGGCUUAUCAGCUUGUUGGUGGGGUAGUGGCUUACCAAGGCUUUGACGGGUAGGCGGUCUGAGAGGGUGACCGGCCUCAUGGGGACUGAGAGACGGAGCAGCCUCCUACGGGAAGCAGCAGUGGGGAUUGUUGAACAAUGGGAGGAAGCCUGAUGCAGCAACGCCGGGGGGGGGAUGACGGCCUUCUGGUAGUAAACCGCUUUCGCCUGUGACGAAGCGGGGGUGACGGUAAUGGGUAAAGAAGCACCGGCUAACUACGUG
rnacentral:rRNA from 1 species